rnacentral:rRNA from 1 species
UACGGAGGGUGCAAGCGUUAUCCGGAUUCACUGGGUUAAAGGGUGCGUAGGCGGGUAUAUAAGUCAGUGGUGAAAGCUCCGAGCUUAACUUGGAAACUGCCAUUGAUACUGUAUAUCUUGAAUGUCGUUGAGGUUAGCGGAAUGUUGCAUGUAGCGGUGAAAUGCUUAGAUAUGUUACAGAACACCAAUUGUGAAGACAGCUAACUAAGCGAUGAUUGACGCUGAGGCACGAAAGCGUGGGGAGCAAACAGG